rnacentral:rRNA from 1 species
CCUACGGGGGGCAGCAGUGAGGAAUAUUGGUCAAUGGACGAGAGUCUGAACCAGCCAAGUAGCGUGAAGGAUGACUGCCCUAUGGGUUGUAACCUUCUUUUAUAAAGGAAUAAAACGAGGCACGUGUGCCUUUUUGCAUGUACUUUAUGACUAAGGAUCGGCUAACUCCGUGCCAGCAGCCGCGGUAAUACGGAGGAUCCGAGCGUUAUCCGGAUUUAUUGGGUUUAAAGGGAGCGUAGAUGGGUUGUUAAGUCAGUUGUGAAAGUUUGCGGCUUAACCGUAAAAUUGCAAUUGAUACUGGCAGUCUUGAGUACAGUUGAGGUAGGCGGAAUUCGUGGUGUAGCGGUGAAAUGCGUAGAUAUCACGAAGAACCCCGAUUGCGAAGGCAGCUUACUAAACUGUGACUGACAUUGAUGCUCGAAAGUGUGGGUAUCAAACAGGAUUAGAUACCCCUGUAGUC